rnacentral:rRNA from 1 species
UACGAAGGGGGCUAGCGUUGCUCGGAAUCACUGGGCGUAAAGGGCGCGUAGGCGGCCAUUCAAGUCAGGGGUGAAAGCCUGUGGCUCAACCACAGAAUUGCCUUUGAUACUGUUUGGCUAGAGACCGGAAGAGGUAAGUGGAACUGCGAGUGUAGAGGUGAAAUUCGUAGAUAUUCGCAAGAACACCAGUGGCGAAGGCGGCUUACUGGACCGGUUCUGACGCUGAGGCGCGAAAGCGAGGGGAGCAAACAGG